rnacentral:rRNA from 1 species
UACGAAGGGGGCUAGCGUUGUUCGGAAUUACUGGGCGUAAAGCGCGCGCAGGCGGUCUUUUAAGUCAGGGGUGAAAGCCCAGAGCUCAACUCUGGAAUUGCCUUUGAAACUAAGAGACUUGGGUACGGGAGAGGUGAGUGGAAUUCCGAGUGUAGAGGUGAAAUUCGUAGAUAUUCGGAAGAACACCAGUGGCGAAGGCGGCUCACUGGCCCGUUACCGACGCUCAGGCGCGACAGCGUGGGGAGCAAACAGG